GUCAGCACUUGUCACAUGCAAUCUCUGCCCUCAACGAAGCUCAGAACUCGAAGCGUAAAUUUUGGAUAUUAAAGAGGCCUCUGCUUUAUCGAGACGUGUCAGCAUCUGUCAAUUUGCACAUCUGCGUUGCGUAAAUCACGCGCAAUCUGUCAAAAAUUUUUGGAGAAGCGGAAUGCACGUGAAAACUACUGUUAAAUUAUCCCAGG
rnacentral:lncRNA from 1 species